AUUGAACGCCGGCGGAAUGCUUUACACAUGCAAGUCGAACGGCAGCACGGACUUCGGUCUGGUGGCGAGUGGCGAACGGGUGAGUAAUGUAUCGGAACGUGCCCAGUCGUGGGGGAUAACGUAGUGAAAAUUACGCUAAUACCGCAUACGAUCUAUGGAGGAAAGCGGGGGAUCGCAAGACCUCGCGCGAUUGGAGCGGCCGAUAUCAGAUUAGGUAGUUGGUUGGGUAAAGGCCCACCAAGCCAACGAUCUGUAGCUGGUCUGAGAGGACGACCAGCCACACUGGAACUGAGACACGGUCCAGACUCCUACGGGAGGCAGCAGUGGGGAAUUUUGGACAAUGGGCGAAAGCCUGAUCCAGCCAUUCCGCGUGCAGGAUGAAGGCCCUCGGGUUGUAAACUGCUUUUGUACAGAACGAAAAGGUUUCUACUAAUACUAGGAGCUCAUGACGGUACUGUAAGAAUAAGCACCGGCUAACUACGUGCCAGCAGCCGCGGUAA
rnacentral:rRNA from 1 species